rnacentral:tRNA from 1 species
UGACAAGAAGUGAAAGUUAUCACAUUUGGUUUCGGCCCAAAUUGUGCCAUAUGUAAUUGGCCUUGUUAU